rnacentral:rRNA from 1 species
AUGCACUUCCUUUCCGGGUCCAUGUCAGGGCUGGCGGAAGAAGUCUCUAUACUCCGCUCUGAUCUCGAAAGUGAGGAGUGGAGGGUGUCGAUCAAGGGCCCAACGAAAUCUGAUGGAAAACCACAAAGGAAGACAAAAACAAGCUGUAUGGUCAAGCUUAAUAACACCCUAUGCGUGGUUCAACGAACCUCGAACAACAUAUGGCUCAUAUGGCUUCUCAGUGAUCCCACCAAAGGCGUCUGGGAAAAGGCGUACGCAAUAGAUACGGAUUCACGAGUUGAACGGGUGAUGCCUUUGACGGAGAUGCAUGAUGGUGAAAAGUUGCUCUUCUAUGUGCAGGAUAAGUUCUCGGCAACAUCGACAUUGCAAGUCUACGAUCCACUCACACAGAAGUGCACACAGCGUCUGGAAUUUGCAAGCAACCUUUUGGGUGCUGGCCUUUGUGACUUGCACUUGGAAAAUUUUGUCUCAACUAAGAUCUUGCCGGUGGUUGCUCCGAGUAUUUUGUCUCACCAAAGAUUUCUCCAGUGGCUUCGUGGGCUGAAACCUUUUUCUCUCUUUUAUAAAUGGUGGGCCUCAAAUAACAACGUUUGA